AACCGCUGCUUAGAGCUGAGGUGCUGAAGCAGUUGUGACUCGGCCCCUGACUCCUGUCUCGUCAACAGGUCCCUGGGCGGUGGAGCUGAGUGCACUCGCUGAGGCCUCGUCGCAGGAUGAAGCCCCAAGGUGUGACCAGGCAACAGACGCCACGUCCUGGUUCUCUGAAGCCCCGCUGCCUAAUCACACAUCCCUCAUUCAACGCAGCCUUUGUAUAAAUACUACAUGCUUUGUUACUCCCACUGUUUCUAUUAGCAACAUGAAGCGCGGAUGCGGUCAAACAUCACGUCGUGUAAUUUCCCCUUUGUUUGUACAUGUAGACGUUCUCGUGCGGACCUUUGAUGAAUCAGGUCUUAUUAGACGGCAGCGCCACUUGUUUGACCAGAUCUAAGAAGAGGCUGCACAAACUGCUACUAAACGAUUUGCUAGAAUUAUAUUUUCAACAAACCAUGCAA